AUUGAACGCUGGCGGCAGGCUUAACACAUGCAAGUCAGCCGGUGAAGGGAGGUUGCCCCUGGGUUCAGGCGCGGACCGGGUAGGAACGUCCAGGAAUCCGGCUGGGAACGGGGGGAAACGGUCGGUAACGGGCCGUAAUAUCCGCAACGGACCGAGGGAUCAAGGGGGGGAUGCUCGGGCCCCCGGCUAUCAGGUUGGUCCUAGGUCGGAUUACCAGGUGGGUGGGGAAAAGGCUAUCCAAGGGGAGGAUCCGUAACUGGUCUGAGAGGAUGAUCAGUAACACUGGAACUGAGACACGGUCCAGACUCCUACGGGAGGCAGCAGUGGGGAAUAUUGGACAAUGGGCGAAAGCCUGAUCCAGCCAUGCCGCGUGUGUGAAGAAGGUCUUCGGAUUGUAAAGCACUUUAAGUUGGGAGGAAGGGCAGUAAGUUAAUACCUUGCUGUUUUGACGUUACCAACAGAAUAAGCACCGGCUAACUUCGUG
rnacentral:rRNA from 1 species